rnacentral:hammerhead_ribozyme from 1 species
AUCCAACUGACGAGUCCCGCGCAGGACGAAACGCGUGUCCUGGAU